AGAGUAGAACGAUUAAUAGUCCUUUGGAUAUAUACCCAGUAAUGGAAUUGCUGGGUCAACUGGAAUUUCUAUUUCUAAGGCCUUGACGAAUUGCCACACUGUCUUCCACAAUGGUUGAACUAGUUUACACUCCCACCAACAGUGUAAAAGUGUUCCUUUUUCUCCACAUCCUCUCCAGCAUCUGUUGUCUCCAGAUUUUUUAAUGAUUGCCAUUCUAACUGGCAUGACAUGGUAUCUCAAUGUGGUUUUGAUUUGCAUCUCUCUAAUGACCAGUGAUGAUGAGAAUUUUUUCAUACAUUUGUUGGCCUCACGUAUGUCUUCUUUUGUAAAGUGUCUGUUCAUAUCCUUUGCCCACUUUUGAAUGGGCUUGUUUGUUUUUUUCCUGUAAAUCUGUUUGAGUUCUUUGUAAAUUCUGGAUAUCAGCCCUUUGUCAGAUGCGUAGACUGCAAAAAUUUUUUUCCCAUUCUGUUGGUUGCCGAUUCACUCUAGUGACUGUUUCUUUUGCCGUGCAGAAGCUGUGGAGGUCCCAUUUGUCUAUUUUGGCUUUUGUUGCCAAUGCUUUUGGUGUUUUGUUCAUGAAGUCCUUGCCUAUUCCUAUGUCCUGAAUGGUUUUGCCUAGAUUUUCUUCUAGGGUUUUUAUGUUGCCAGCUCUAAUGUUUAAGCCUUUAAUCCAUCGGGAGUUCAUUUUAGUGUAAGGUGUCAGGAAGGGGUCCAGUUUCUGCUUUCUGCACAUGUCUAGCCAGUUUUCCCAACACCAUUUAUUAAACAGGGAAUCCUUUCCCCAUUGCUUGUUUUUGUCAGGUUUAUCAAAGAUUCUAUAGUUGUAGAUAUGUUGUGUUGCCUCCAAUGCCUCUGUUUUGUUCCAUUGGUCUAUAUCUCUGUUUUGGUACCAGUACCAUGCUGUUUUGAUUACUGUAGCCUUGUAGUAUAGUUUGAAGUCCAGUAGUGUGAUGCCUCCCGCUGUGUUCUUUUUGCUUAGAAUUGACUUGGCUAUGCGGGCUGUCUUUUGGUUCCAUAUGAAGUUCAUGGUGGUUUUUUCCAGUUCUGUGAAGAAAGUCAAUGGUAGCUUGAUGGGGAUAGCAUUGAUUCUGUAAAUUACUUUGGGCAGUAUAGCCAUUUUUAUGAUAUUAAUUCUUCCUAACCAUGAACAUGGAAUGUUUCUCCAUCUGUUUGUGUCCUCUCUUAUUUCAUUGAGCAGUGGUUUCUAGUUUUCCUUGAAGAGGUCCCUUACGUUCUUUGUAAGUUGUAUUCCUAGGUAUUUUAUUGUAUUUGUAGCAAUUGUGAAUGGCAAUUCGUUCUUGAUUUGGCUCUCUUUAAGUCUGUUAUUGGUGUAUAGGAAUGCUUUUGAUUUUUGCACAUUGAUUUUAUAUCCUGAGACGUUGCUUAUCAGUUUCAGGAAUUUUUGGGCUGAGGCGAUGGGGUCUUCUAGAUAUACUAUCAUGUUGUCUGCAAAUAGAGACAAUUUGGCUUCCUCCUUUCCUAUUUGAAUACCCUUUAUUUCUUUUUCUUGCCUGAUUGCUCUGGCUAGAACUUCC
rnacentral:lncRNA from 13 species